rnacentral:rRNA from 1 species
UGGCGGCGUGCUUAACACAUGCAAGUCGAACGAUGAAGUUCUCUUCGGAGAGCGGAUUAGUGGCGAACGGGUGAGGAACACGUGAAGAAUCUGCCCUCCACUUUGGGAUAACUCCGGGAAACCGGGGCUAAUACCGAAUAUUGAAGCAUAAGCGGCAUCGCUGAGCUUUGAAAGAAUUUCGGUGGAGGAUGACUUCGCGGCCUAUCAGCUUGUUGGUGAGGUAAUGGCUCACCAAGGCUACGACGGGUAUCCGGCCUGAGAGGGCGACCGGACACACUGGGACUGAGACACGGCCCAGACUCCUACGGGAGGCAGCAGUGGGGAAUAUUGGGCAAUGGACGCAAGUCUGACCCAGCGACGCCGCGUGAGGGAUGAAGGCCUUCGGGUUGUAAACCUCUUUCAGUAGGGAAGAAG